GACGAACGCUGGCGGCGCGCCUAACACAUGCAAGUCGAACGGAGCUGAGAGAAGCUUGCUUUUCUUAGCUUAGUGGCGAACGGGUGAGUAACGCGUGAGUAACCUGCCCUGGAGUGGGGGACAACAGUUGGAAACGACUGCUAAUACCGCAUAAGCCCACGGUACCGCAUGGCACUGAGGGAAAAGGAUUUAUUUGCUUCAGGAUGGACUCGCGUCCAAUUAGCUAGUUGGUGAGGUAACGGCCCACCAAGGCGACGAUUGGUAGCCGGACUGAGAGGUUGAACGGCCACAUUGGGACUGAGACACGGCCCAGACUCCUACGGGAGGCAGCAGUGGGGGAUAUUGCACAAUGGGGGAAACCCUGAUGCAGCGACGCCGCGUGGAGGAAGAAGGUUUUCGGAUUGUAAACUCCUGUCGUUAGGGACGAUAAUGACGGUACCUAACAAGAAAGCACCGGCUAACUACGUGCCAGCAGCCGCAGUAA
rnacentral:rRNA from 1 species